UGAUUCACCCCCCCUCUCAGUAAUCCAACAGAUCCCAUUAGAACUCCACAAUUAAGCACGCUUAGGCUAGAGUAGUAUUGGGAUGGGUGACCACUUGAGAAGUCCUAGUGUUUUAC
rnacentral:rRNA from 1 species